GAUGAAGAACGCAGCGAAAUGCGAUAAGUAAUGUGAAUUGCAGAAUUCAGUGAAUCAUCGAAUCUUUGAACGCACAUUGCGCCCCUUGGUAUUCCGAGGGGCAUGCCUGUUCGAGCGUCAUUAUAACCCCUCAAGCUCAGCUUGGUGUUGGGGCCUGCUGCACUGGCAGCCCUUAAAAUCAGUGGCGGCGCCAUCUGGCUCUAAGCGUAGUAAUUCUUCUCGCUAUGGAGUCCUGGUGGAUGCUUGCCAUCAACCCCCAAUUUUUCUAUGGUUGAACUCGGAUCAGGUAGGGAUACCCGCUGAACUUAAGCAUAUCAAUAAGCGGAGGA
rnacentral:misc_RNA from 1 species